rnacentral:rRNA from 1 species
ACAGCCCCGUACACAAAAAUGCACAUGCUGUGAGCUCGAUGAGUAGGGCGGGACACGUGGUAUCCUGUCUGAAUAUGGGGGGACCAUCCUCCAAGGCUAAAUACUCCUGACUGACCGAUAGUGAACCAGUACCGUGAGGGAAAGGCGAAAAGAACCCCGGCGAGGGGAGUGAAAAAGAACCUGAAACCGUGUACGUACAAGCAGUGGGAGCACAGAGCAAUCUGUGUGACUGCGUACCUUUUGUAUAAUGGGUCAGCGACUUAUAUUCUGUAGCAAGGUUAACCGAAUAGGGGAGCCGAAGGGAAACCGAGUCUUAACUGGGCGUUAAGUUGCAGGGUAUAGACCCGAAACCCGGUGAUCUAGCCAUGGGCAGGUUGAAGGUUGGGUAACACUAACUGGAGGACCGAACCGACUAAUGUUGAAAAAUUAGCGGAUGACUUGUGGCUGGGGGUGAAAGGCCAAUCAAACCGGGAGAUAGCUGGUUCUCCCCGAAAGCUAUUUAGGUAGCGCCUCGUGAAUUCAUCUCCGGGGGUAGAGCACUGUUUCGGCAAGGGGGUCAUCCCGACUUACCAACCCGAUGCAAACUGCGAAUACCGGAGAAUGUUAUCACGGGAGACACACGGCGGGUGCUAACGUCCGUCGUGAAGAGGGAAACAACCCAGACCGCCAGCUAAGGUCCCAAAGUCAUGGUUAAGUGGGAAACGAUGUGGGAAGGCCCAGACAGCCAGGAUGUUGGCUUAGAAGCAGCCAUCAUUUAAAGAAAGCGUAAUAGCUCACUGGUCGAGUCGGCCUGCGCGGAAGAUGUAACGGGGCUAAACCAUGCACCGAAGCUGCGGCAGCGACACUGUGUGUUGUUGGGUAGGGGAGCGUUCUGUAAGCCUGUGAAGGUGUGCUGUGAGGCAUGCUGGAGGUAUCAGAAGUGCGAAUGCUGACAUAAGUAACGAUAAAGCGGGUGAAAAGCCCGCUCGCCGGAAGACCAAGGGUUCCUGUCCAACGUUAAUCGGGGCAGGGUGAGUCGACCCCUAAGGCGAGGCCGAAAGGCGUAGUCGAUGGGAAACAGGUUAAUAUUCCUGUACUUGGUGUUACUGCGAAGGGGGGACGGAGAAGGCUAUGUUGGCCGGGCGACGGUUGUCCCGGUUUAAGCGUGUAGGCUGGUUUUCCAGGCAAAUCCGGAAAAUCAAGGCUGAGGCGUGAUGACGAGGCACUACGGUGCUGAAGCAACAAAUGCCCUGCUUCCAGGAAAAGCCUCUAAGCAUCAGGUAACAUCAAAUCGUACCCCAAACCGACACAGGUGGUCAGGUAGAGAAUACCAAGGCGCUUGAGAGAACUCGGGUGAAGGAACUAGGCAAAAUGGUGCCGUAACUUCGGGAGAAGGCACGCUGAUAUGUAGGUGAAGUCCCUCGCGGAUGGAGCUGAAAUCAGUCGAAGAUACCAGCUGGCUGCAACUGUUUAUUAAAAACACAGCACUGUGCAAACACGAAAGUGGACGUAUACGGUGUGACGCCUGCCCGGUGCCGGAAGGUUAAUUGAUGGGGUCAGCGCAAGCGAAGCUCUUGAUCGAAGCCCCGGUAAACGGCGGCCGUAACUAUAACGGUCCUAAGGUAGCGAAAUUCCUUGUCGGGUAAGUUCCGACCUGCACGAAUGGCGUAAUGAUGGCCAGGCUGUCUCCACCCGAGACUCAGUGAAAUUGAACUCGCUGUGAAGAUGCAGUGUACCCGCGGCAAGACGGAAAGACCCCGUGAACCUUUACUAUAGCUUGACACUGAACAUUGAGCCUUGAUGUGUAGGAUAGGUGGGAGGCUUUGAAGUGUGGACGCCAGUCUGCAUGGAGCCGACCUUGAAAUACCACCCUUUAAUGUUUGAUGUUCUAACGUGGACCCGUGAUCCGGGUUGCGGACAGUGUCUGGUGGGUAGUUUGACUGGGGCGGUCUCCUCCUAAAGAGUAACGGAGGAGCACGAAGGUUGGCUAAUCCUGGUCGGACAUCAGGAGGUUAGUGCAAUGGCAUAAGCCAGCUUGACUGCGAGCGUGACGGCGCGAGCAGGUGCGAAAGCAGGUCAUAGUGAUCCGGUGGUUCUGAAUGGAAGGGCCAUCGCUCAACGGAUAAAAGGUACUCCGGGGAUAACAGGCUGAUACCGCCCAAGAGUUCAUAUCGACGGCGGUGUUUGGCACCUCGAUGUCGGCUCAUCACAUCCUGGGGCUGAAGUAGGUCCCAAGGGUAUGGCUGUUCGCCAUUUAAAGUGGUACGCGAGCUGGGUUUAGAACGUCGUGAGACAGUUCGGUCCCUAUCUGCCGUGGGCGCUGGAGAACUGAGGGGGGCUGCUCCUAGUACGAGAGGACCGGAGUGGACGCAUCACUGGUGUUCGGGUUGUCAUGCCAAUGGCACUGCCCGGUAGCUAAAUGCGGAAGAGAUAAGUGCUGAAAGCAUCUAAGCACGAAACUUGCCCCGAGAUGAGUUCUCCCUGACCCUUUAAGGGUCCUGAAGGAACGUUGAAGACGACGACGUUGAUAGGCCGGGUGUGUAAGCGCAGCGAUGCGUUGAGCUAACCGGUACUAAUGAACCGU